rnacentral:misc_RNA from 1 species
GAUGAAGAACGUAGCGAAAUGCGAUACUUGGUGUGAAUUGCAGAAUCCCGUGAACCAUCGAGUCUUUGAACGCAAGUUGCGCCCGAAGCCAUUAGGCCGAGGGCACGCCUGCCUGGGCGUCACACGUCGUUGCCCCCCCAUCUACUCCUUCGGGAUUGCGGGGGGCGGAUGAUGGCCUCCCGUGCGCCUCGCCGCGCGGUUGGCAUAAAUGCCAAGUCCUCGGCGACGCAUGCCACGACAAUCGGUGGUUGCGAAACCUCGGUUGCCCGUCGUGUGCGGUCGUCGCGCAUCGAGGGCUCGAAAAAAUUGCCGGGUUCCGGCUCGGCUUUCAACGCGACCCCAGGUCAGGCGGGGUUACCCGCUGAAUUUAAGCAUAUCAAUAAGCGGAGGA